rnacentral:rRNA from 1 species
CCCCUUGGGAGGUUCUCAAAGAAGGACGUGAACCGAUGAGGUGGAAACGGAUAGAGCCAGCGUAUCUGGCCUGUAUUCAACUGCAUUGUUGUGAGCAGUUGGGCGCUGCAUCUCCAGAUUGGGACAGUCCUAGCUUGCAAGCAACAAUGUUGUGCAUUUGCAGGUCGAGUGCGCCGAGACUUUCGAGAAGGCGAUAUGAGCUCAAUUUUGAGGCCAGCUUGCUGGUACCCGGAUUGGAGGAAUGUUGUUCGUUUUGGAUGUGAAUGGGGGAAAGGUUUUCUGGCUCCACGGACUACGGAUUGUGACGGGUGGGCGAGUUAACGGGCGAUUAAACCCCUAAGGCUCAAGGAAGCUGACUGGUGGGAUCCCCUAGUGGGUUGCACCACCGACCGACCUUGACCAUCCGACAAGGGUUCGAGUGCGAGCAUGCCUGUCGGGACCCAAAUCAUUGGGAACUAAAACUGAGCGGGGCCAAUCCAGAUAAAACUCCGGCGGAGGCCCGAAGCGUUACUGAAGUGAACAUCAUUGGCCGGACUAGCGUAUCCCCAUUCUAGACUCUUCCAACCGGCUAGAAGAAGAUUCCAUCCGAUGAAACCCCAAAGAUGGUGAACUAUUCCUGAGCAGGAUGAACCCCGAGGAAACUCUGGUGGAAGUCCAAACCGAUUCUAACGUGCAAAUCGAUCGUCUGACUUGGGUAUAGGGCCGAAAAACUAAUCCAACCAUCUAUUACCUGUUUCCUUCCAAAAGGGGGG